CACUGAAGGACACUCAUUAUAUUUCAGGCUUGUGAUGUCCUGGGCUUAUACUAUGGUCUUGGACGUACAUUCUUCAAUCCAGCUAGCGCUAAGGUGUUUUCAAGAUCUCAUGCUCUGCGUAAAGCUGUGAAAAACAACACCAUCGAAGCCACCCCAGAUGAUAGAAGUGGUGUACUGCAACAGGUUUGAUCUACUCCUGACUACUGUCCAGUGAUGAGGAAUUUUUUUUUUUAUCUUAAUUUACCUGUAGGUCUUUUCAUUUUGAUUUUAAGAGGUUAUGAGCAACUCAUUAAAAGAAUGAACUUCACAAAUAAAUAGAACAAAAAAAUUUAUAUAAAUGAUUACAAAUUACAGACAUAUUAACAGUACUAGGUUCCCUAUCAACCUGUUCAUGGACCUGUGAAGUCAAUUUUGAGGAAAUAUGUGUUUGGCCAAGUGAAUCGAUGAUAUCCUGAAAUGAAUCUCGAGCUUGGUUCGUUUAUCAAACACACAUGCUGCAAAGCUAUCUGCCAAUCCCAAGACUGAACUGUUUAUGACUUGGUUCAUCUGCAGCACUAUCUGCCCUCACUAUAAUUCCAGCAAGUUCUGUUCCGUUGUUCUCAGGGAGGAAUGUUUGUCUUCAAAGGGAAGCAGUUAUUGUUCCAGUUGCAUGAAGGUUCACUGCAUAGCAAAUAUCAGUCUUUCACUGGUUAGGUGCCCUGCUUUUGUUAAUCUGCUACCAUGGAAUAAUAGUGGCAAAAAUAAAUUGGUCUUCAGUUGUAAAUCAGGAAGCACUGGCUAAUGCCUGUCGAAUGUAGUUAUCAGAGCUCGUCUGUAUUUUACCAUGUAUAUCUGCUUCAAUGUGUUGAUUUUCAAAAGAAAAAAUGAAAACAAGGAAAGUUUAACCA